rnacentral:rRNA from 1 species
UAGGGAAUCUUCGGCAAUGGGGGCAACCCUGACCGAGCAACGCCGCGUGAGUGAAGAAGGUUUUCGGAUCGUAAAACUCUGUUGUUAGAGAAGAACGUUAAGUAGAGUGGAAAAUUACUUAAGUGACGGUAUCUAACCAGAAAGGGACGGCUAACUACGUGCCAGCAGCCGCGGUAAUACGUAGGUCCCAAGCGUUGUCCGGAUUUAUUGGGCGUAAAGCGAGCGCAGGUGGUUUCUUAAGUCUGAUGUAAAAGGCAGUGGCUCAACCAUUGUGUGCAUUGGAAACUGGGAGACUUGAGUGCAGGAGAGGAGAGUGGAAUUCCAUGUGUAGCGGUGAAAUGCGUAGAUAUAUGGAGGAACACCGGAGGCGAAAGCGGCUCUCUGGCCUGUAACUGACACU